rnacentral:rRNA from 1 species
CUCGUAGGCGGUUUGUCGCGUCUGCUGUGAAAGCCCGGGGCUCAACCCCGGGUCUGCGGUGGGUACGGGCAGGCUGGAGUGCAGUAGGGGAGACUGGAAUUCCUGGUGUAGCGGUGAAAUGCGCAGAUAUCAGGAGGAACACCGAUGGCGAAGGCAGGUCUCUGGGCUGUAACUGACGCUGAGGAGCGAAAGCGUGGGGAGCGAACA